GUGACAGUGGUAACGUUAGAGUUAAAAAUGCAAUCCCUCAUGGCGGAACAGUACAUGGAACAUCCUGGGCAAGUCUGGCAGGAUCUUUGAGAAAAAAAAAAUCAUCUUUCCCCUCACCUCCCAAUUAUUAAUGUGUUCAUUGUAGGUAAUUAUAGAAAUUUAGAAAACAUAGAUGAGUAUAAGGAAGAAAGGACAGAUACAACACUUGUAAGGUUUGAGGUAUUUCAGUAUUUUUUUCUAUGUACAUUAUAUACAUAUAGUCAAUUUUCACCAUUUGCAUUAUGCUCUGUAAAAGGUCUCUGCACUAAGUUAGAAAAUACUGAACCACUGGUCCUAGGGAAAUAUAGGAUUAGGUUCCUGCAAGCCUCUGAUCACAACAUGUAUAUCGACCAAUCAAUACAUAACCUUGUUUUAUGUGUGUUUCUAUUUAAAGACACCUUAUUUAAUAUAUAUUGUUGAUAUGUUAGCAUUAAACUCAGGGCCAACAGCACUGUAACUCAUACCUGAACGAACCUUAUCUACCUAACACACGUAUUUUCUGCCUUAGGCACAUCACAGCCUUCUUGCGCCCAGGAACACUAGACAGCAUUUUAGCACUGUGCUUAAGUAUUUUUAAUCAACAAGCACAAAAUGUGGAAAUGUGGCACUAAUUAUAGUGUGAAAAGGAUACUUGACUACAGAUCUGACAGAAGGCAGAGUGUCAUCUUGUUUCACCUUGGCUGGGAACAUGCACAUCAGUUGGAUUUUAAAGAGCCACUCACACCUCAUGGAAAGGUUUACAAAUUUGUUUCCAAAACACCCUCCUGGACCCACACCUGAAUGUUGUGAAGGUUUCUCACUGCUUUGCCUGUGACACCCAGAGUCAGGCUCUCAUAGACACCCAGCCUGCAAUGUCUACAGAGAGGAGGCCAGAGCUUGAAGCUCGACAGCAGACAUUUAGGAACCGGGCAGGCAAAAGGCUUCUCCUCCCCCCCAUUCAUGCACAUGGAGCUGAGGAUGGCUUCGGAGCUGAUGGCGCUCUCGGUGGUCCAGGACUCAUCGCUGUCCGACUCCUCAUAGUCCACCUCCUCCUCGUCGUACUCACUGCCUGUGGGAGCAGAGGAGAAGCCAAUGGCUAUUAGGAGAAGUCACCACCCCGCAGGUUUGCUCCGGCCACCACUAGGCGGGAGUACAUGCAGCUCCUCCUGCCCCUGGAGCAGGCAUUCCCGGCAUAAAAGGCCUGCAAGCACACUUAUUCUCUAGGACAGCCCAGUCAGGGAGGGAUCUGCAUUCCCUCUUGAGAGGCCAGGGUAACGACUUCCCAACAAUUCAUGGCUAGGCAAUGGCUGAGCCAGAACUCGAACUCAGUUCUAUGGCAGGCUGGUCUGUGAUUAUAAAGGUGCCGGGAAGACUCUGAGGCUAAAAACAAAAUAAUUAAUGACAACAAAAGACACACACACAUACACACACUCAUGUAAGCUAGUGCCUGACAUUCCAAUGGAUCGAAGUCUGUCCACUUAAUUUUAUACUUUAUUGGCCUAGUAAUUGGAAAAUCUCCAGGACAGGGCUGCAUUUUACACUGUUCUUAGGUAUUUCAGUGGGAGUGAUUUCAGAUCUUUUUCUUUACAUA